CCGACGGGUGAGUAACACGUAUGCAACCUGCCUGCCACAGCCGGAUAAUCGGGAGAAAUUCCGUCUAAUACGGCAUAAUGCAUCGACGGGACAUCCUGUUGGUGCAAGGUGAUUCCGGUGGCGGAUGGGCAUGCGUCGCAUUAGUUAGUUGGCGGUGUAACGGACCACCAAGACGACGAUGCGUAGGGGUUCUGAGAGGAAGGUCCCCCACACUGGUACUGAGACACGGACCAGACUCCUACGGGAGGCAGCAG
rnacentral:rRNA from 1 species